GACGAACGCUGGCGGCGUGCUUAACACAUGCAAGUCGAACGGAAAGGCCCCUUUGGGGGUACUCGAGUGGCGAACGGGUGAGUAACACGUGAGUAACCUGCCCUUGACUUCGGGAUAACUUCAGGAAACUGGGGCUAAUACCGGAUAGGAAUCCUUGCUGCAUGGUGGGGGUUGGAAAGCUUCGGCGGUUUUGGAUGGACUCGCGGCUUAUCAGCUUGUUGGUGGGGUAGUGGCUUACCAAGGCUUUGACGGGUAGCCGUCCUGAGAGGGCGACCGGCCACAUUGGGACUGAGAUACGGCCCAGACUCCUACGGGAGGCAGCAGGGGGGAAUAUUGCACAAUGGGCGGAAGCCUGAUGCAGCAACGCCGCGUGCGGGAUGACGGCCUUCGGGUUGUAAACCGCUUUCAGCAGGGGCGAAGCUUGUGGUGACGGUACCUGCAGAAGAAGCACCGGCUAACUACGUG
rnacentral:rRNA from 1 species